ACCCUAGAUCAAGAGGAGAGGCUCUCCAGAUUUGCUGACCUAGAAGGAUAAGUCUGAAAGUAGGAGGGUGGGGAGAGCCAGAUGAACAAGGGAGGUGAAAACGUGAUCUAGGGAGGCAUCCGAGUGAGCAAAGGCACGAGUGAGCCUGGUACACUUCUGGGCAGGCAGAAGGAAGGCAGUUAGGCUGUUAGGAAGGCAGUUAGGCUGCAGUGAAUUCUACAAAGAGGCUAUGGGAAAGAAACCUGGAAAGGUAGGGAGGUAUGGAUAUGGACAAGCUAUGCCAAGGAGCAGGGCUUUGUCAUGGAGAGUGACUAGGUGCUUUUACAUAGGAAAGUCACCUGAUAAUAUUAAAACCUGUGAAAUAUCACUCUGGUGGAAGUGUGAAUGAAUUUGAAAGGGGUGUAACACUGUUCUACUUUGUUUACUCCUCAGUACCCUUGGCUGUGUACAUUUGAGUAAAGAGAGCACUAUAAAAUCAAAAACCAAUGAAAUGGUUUCCAGAACACAGAACUAUUAAGCUUAAGAAAAGGACAGAAGGAACUGAAGAGAGAGGAACUGUUUUGGAGCAUCACACUUCCACCUCAGAAGAAAUAAGGAAGGAAGGAGGAGGGUGUUCCCACGGCUCUUCAACCAGGCCGGCUCUUCAGCCUACAUCCCCAUCUCAUCAAGUAAAAGGGAUUUUUCAACUGGACCAACCAGAUGGUUUAACAGUGCACUCCCACACCAUUCAACUACGCAAGGGAGAUACACUUAACAUAUGCAGUCGUAUAACACCUACUAACAUUUUCAAACAUUAAACCUUUAAAAAAGAGUUCUAAAGAAAUAGAAGCUUGAAGUAUCAUCUCUCAAGUAUAUAGACACUACUUCAUGGUGUGGUAAUAUAUGCAUAUAGAAGCUAGUAAACACCUCCAGGAGAUGCAAAAGGAAUUAGAACUGCCACAAGGUGCAAGCAAAACCUUGAGGUAAGCCUGUUCUUUACUCAGUACAUUUUUCCUCUUCGACAUUGUAGGUAUGUUAUCUCCAUCAUCCGUAUUUGUCUAUUGCAGUCUCCAUUGAUGGUGAAGUAUUUUCACUAUUUGGCAUGUCUUCUCUAGUACCUAGAGCAGUGCGUUGCAUGCAGUAGCAGGUUUAUAAACAUUUGCGAGUAAAACAUCCAACCUGAUACUCAAGGUGAGAAAAUCGAAUUUGGACACCGUUGAGGAGACUAUUGCAGUCAUCCAAGCUCAAGAUGGUGGAGCUUCAUCCUUGAGAAUAACCAAUGGGGAUAGAUUUAAGAGACACUUAGAGUCUGCAGCCAACAGGGCUGAAUGAGCAGAGAGUUAUGAUUCAGAAGAUCAUCUAAAAUUGAACAGCUGCCACUACUGGCAAUAAGUCUACUGCCAUUUGGUAGAUAACCUUCUUAUCACACAGAAAAAUAUCAGUACAGACAAAUAGACCGCAAAGAAAAUGAGACCAUCAGCAAAGAAGAUAAAGAAGUUUGUACAAAGCAACUUUUUAUAAAUGGAUGGCUGUCAGGCAAAAAUAAAUUUCCUGUGGACAAGACCAAGAGCAAGGCAAGAGGAAAAUAAACAUGUUUAAACUA
rnacentral:lncRNA from 1 species